rnacentral:rRNA from 1 species
ACACAAAAAUGCACAUAUUGUGAGCUCGAUGAGUAGGGCGGGACACGUGGUAUCCUGUCUGAAUAUGGGGGGACCAUCCUCCAAGGCUAAAUACUCCUGACUGACCGAUAGUGAACCAGUACCGUGAGGGAAAGGCGAAAAGAACCCCGGCGAGGGGAGUGAAAAAGAACCUGAAACCGUGUACGUACAAGCAGUGGGAGCACGCUUAGGCGUGUGACUGCGUACCUUUUGUAUAAUGGGUCAGCGACUUAUAUUCUGUAGCAAGGUUAACCGAAUAGGGGAGCCGAAGGGAAACCGAGUCUUAACUGGGCGUUAAGUUGCAGGGUAUAGACCCGAAACCCGGUGAUCUAGCCAUGGGCAGGUUGAAGGUUGGGUAACACUAACUGGAGGACCGAACCGACUAAUGUUGAAAAAUUAGCGGAUGACUUGUGGCUGGGGGUGAAAGGCCAAUCAAACCGGGAGAUAGCUGGUUCUCCCCGAAAGCUAUUUAGGUAGCGCCUCGUGAAUUCAUCUCCGGGGGUAGAGCACUGUUUCGGCAAGGGGGUCAUCCCGACUUACCAACCCGAUGCAAACUGCGAAUACCGGAGAAUGUUAUCACGGGAGACACACGGCGGGUGCUAACGUCCGUCGUGAAGAGGGAAACAACCCAGACCGCCAGCUAAGGUCCCAAAGUCAUGGUUAAGUGGGAAACGAUGUGGGAAGGCCCAGACAGCCAGGAUGUUGGCUUAGAAGCAGCCAUCAUUUAAAGAAAGCGUAAUAGCUCACUGGUCGAGUCGGCCUGCGCGGAAGAUGUAACGGGGCUAAACCAUGCACCGAAGCUGCGGCAGCGACGCUUAUGCGUUGUUGGGUAGGGGAGCGUUCUGUAAGCCUGCGAAGGUGUGCUGUGAGGCAUGCUGGAGGUAUCAGAAGUGCGAAUGCUGACAUAAGUAACGAUAAAGCGGGUGAAAAGCCCGCUCGCCGGAAGACCAAGGGUUCCUGUCCAACGUUAAUCGGGGCAGGGUGAGUCGACCCCUAAGGCGAGGCCGAAAGGCGUAGUCGAUGGGAAACAGGUUAAUAUUCCUGUACUUGGUGUUACUGCGAAGGGGGGACGGAGAAGGCUAUGUUGGCCGGGCGACGGUUGUCCCGGUUUAAGCGUGUAGGCUGGUUUUCCAGGCAAAUCCGGAAAAUCAAGGCUGAGGCGUGAUGACGAGGCACUACGGUGCUGAAGCAACAAAUGCCCUGCUUCCAGGAAAAGCCUCUAAGCAUCAGGUAACAUCAAAUCGUACCCCAAACCGACACAGGUGGUCAGGUAGAGAAUACCAAGGCGCUUGAGAGAACUCGGGUGAAGGAACUAGGCAAAAUGGUGCCGUAACUUCGGGAGAAGGCACGCUGAUAUGUAGGUGAAGUCCCUUGCGGAUGGAGCUGAAAUCAGUCGAAGAUACCAGCUGGCUGCAACUGUUUAUUAAAAACACAGCACUGUGCAAACACGAAAGUGGACGUAUACGGUGUGACGCCUGCCCGGUGCCGGAAGGUUAAUUGAUGGGGUCAGCGCAAGCGAAGCUCUUGAUCAAAGCCCCGGUAAACGGCGGCCGUAACUAUAACGGUCCUAAGGUAGCGAAAUUCCUUGUCGGGUAAGUUCCGACCUGCACGAAUGGCGUAAUGAUGGCCAGGCUGUCUCCACCCGAGACUCAGUGAAAUUGAACUCGCUGUGAAGAUGCAGUGUACCCGCGGCAAGACGGAAAGACCCCGUGAACCUUUACUAUAGCUUGACACUGAACAUUGAGCCUUGAUGUGUAGGAUAGGUGGGAGGCUUUGAAGUGUGGACGCCAGUCUGCAUGGAGCCGGCCUUGAAAUACCACCCUUUAAUGUUUGAUGUUCUAACGUGGACCCGUGAUCCGGGUUGCGGACAGUGUCUGGUGGGUAGUUUGACUGGGGCGGUCUCCUCCUAAAGAGUAACGGAGGAGCACGAAGGUUGGCUAAUCCUGGUCGGACAUCAGGAGGUUAGUGCAAUGGCAUAAGCCAGCUUGACUGCGAGCGUGACGGCGCGAGCAGGUGCGAAAGCAGGUCAUAGUGAUCCGGUGGUUCUGAAUGGAAGGGCCAUCGCUCAACGGAUAAAAGGUACUCCGGGGAUAACAGGCUGAUACCGCCCAAGAGUUCAUAUCGACGGCGGUGUUUGGCACCUCGAUGUCGGCUCAUCACAUCCUGGGGCUGAAGUAGGUCCCAAGGGUAUGGCUGUUCGCCAUUUAAAGUGGUACGCGAGCUGGGUUUAGAACGUCGUGAGACAGUUCGGUCCCUAUCUGCCGUGGGCGCUGGAGAACUGAGGGGGGCUGCUCCUAGUACGAGAGGACCGGAGUGGACGCAUCACUGGUGUUCGGGUUGUCAUGCCAAUGGCACUGCCCGGUAGCUAAAUGCGGAAGAGAUAAGUGCUGAAAGCAUCUAAGCACGAAACUUGCCCCGAGAUGAGUUCUCCCUGACCCUUUAAGGGUCCUGAAGGAACGUUGAAGACGACGACGUUGAUAGGCCGGGUGUGUAAGCGCAGCGAUGCGUUGAGCUAACCGGUACUAAUGAACCGUGAGGCUUAACCUU